ensembl:lncRNA
UCCAGAGUGGCUUUUUGCUUACCAAGGACUUCUGCUUUGGGAAGAAUUUAGUCGAGAGCUCUGCACCCUGGGCACCAACAAAUAUUUAGAUGUUUGUUUAUAGACAAUGAACUGUUUGCAAAGAGGUGGUGAACUCCCAGAAUUUAGAGGUGGCUAGGGUCCUUAUUCAGCAAGAAGCAAACAAACACCAAGGGUGUACAAAAGUACAUUUAUGCAUUCCUGAAUACGUUUCUGGCAUGAAGCAGGAACAGCCCACGGCAGAAGAAACAACAGAGAACUAUUCAGUGGCCUUCCUGUCGACUGGGCAGAGCCGGAUCCCAGUUCAGCUCCUUAUGGAGGAGUGCAGAGGGAGAGAGGGUGACAGAUGAUGCUGAGGGACU